GAUGAACGCUAGCGGCAGGCCUAACACAUGCAAGUCGAGGGGCAGCACAGAAACAGCAAUGUUUUGGUGGCGACCGGCGGACGGGUGCGUAACGCGUAUGCAACCUACCUUUAACAGGGGGAUAACGGAGAGAAAUUUCCACUAAUACCCCAUAACAUCGAUCAAGGCAUCUUGAUUGGUUGAAAACUCCGGAGGUUAAAGAUGGGCAUGCGUUGUAUAGGUAGUUGGUGAGGUAAUGGCUUACCAAGCCUACGAUACAUAGGGGAACUGAGAGGAUAGCCCCCCGCACUGGUACUGAGACACGGACCAGACUCCUCCGGGAGGCAGCAGUGAGGAAUAUUGGUCAAUGGGUGCAAACCUGAACCAGCCAUGCCGCGUGCAGGAAGACGGCUCUAUGAGUUGUAAACUGCUUUUAAACAGGGAUAAAGCACAGUAUGUAUACUGUGUUGAAGGUACUGUAAGAAUAAGGAUCGGCUAACUCCGUGCCAGCAGCCGCAGUAA
rnacentral:rRNA from 1 species